CCUACGGGAGGCAGCAGUGGGGAAUAUUGGACAAUGGGGGCAACCCUGACCCAGCCAUGCCGCGUGUGUGAAGAAGGCCCUCGGGUUGUAAAGCACUUUCAGUGAGGAAGAACGCCUGGUGGUUAAUACCCAUCAGGAAAGACAUCACUCACAGAAGAAGCACCGGCUAACUCCGUGCCAGCAGCCGCGGUAAUACGGAGGGUGCGAGCGUUAAUCGGAAUUACUGGGCGUAAAGCGCGCGUAGGUGGCUUGAUAAGCCGGUUGUGAAAGCCCCGGGCUCAACCUGGGAACGGCAUCCGGAACUGUCAAGCUAGAGUGCAGGAGAGGAAGGUAGAAUUCCCGGUGUAGCGGUGAAAUGCGUAGAGAUCGGGAGGAAUACCAGUGGCGAAGGCGGCCUUCUGGACUGACACUGACACUGAGGUGCGAAAGCGUGGGUAGCAAACAGGAUUAGAUACCCCAGUAGUC
rnacentral:rRNA from 1 species